rnacentral:rRNA from 1 species
GACAGAGGGGCAAGCGUUGCUCGGAAUCACUGGGCGUAAAGGGCGCGUAGGCGGGAUGGCAAGUCGGUCGUGAAAUCCUUCGGCUCAACCGAAGAACGUCGGCCGAUACUGCCGUUCUUGAGGGAUGCAGAGGAGAUUGGAAUUCCCGGUGUAGCGGUGAAAUGUGUAGAGAUCGGGAGGAACACCGGUGGCGAAGGCGGGUCUCUGGGCAUCUCCUGACGCUGAGGCGCGAAAGCGUGGGGAGCAAACGGG